rnacentral:piRNA from 1 species
UNUCUUUACACAUGUGCCAACUUAGAUGAUG